rnacentral:tRNA from 1 species
GCGGAUAUAGAUCAAUGGUAGAUUAUCUGCCUUCCAAGCAGAAGGUAGGAGUUCGAGUCUCCUUAUCCGCA